rnacentral:rRNA from 1 species
AGUGAACGCUGGCGGUAGGCCUAACACGUGCAAGUCGAACGGCAGCACAGGAGAGCUUGCUCUCUGGGUGGCGAGUGGCGGACGGGUGAGGAAUACAUCGGAAUCUACUCUGUCGUGGGGGAUAACGUAGGGAAACUUACGCUAAUACCGCAUACGACCUACGGGUGAAAGCAGGGGAUCUUCGGACCUUGCGCGAUUGAAUGAGCCGAUGUCGGAUGAGCUAGUUGGCGGGGUAAAGGCCCACCAAGGCGACGAUCCGUAGCUGGUCUGAGAGAGAGAUCAGCCUUGCGGGAACUGAGACCAGGUCCACACUCCUGCGGGGGGCAGCAGUGGGGAAUAUUGGACAAUGGGCGCAAGCCUGAUCCAGCCAUACCGCGUGGGUGAAGAAGACCUUCGGGUUGUAAGGCCCUUUUGUUGGGAAAGAAAUCCAGCUGGCUAAUACCCGGUUGGGAUGACGGUACCCAAAGAAUAAGCACCGGCUAACUUCGUGCCAGCCGCCGCGGUAA